rnacentral:rRNA from 1 species
GACGAACGCUGGCGGCGUGCUUAACACAUGCAAGUCGAACGAUGAAGCCUAGCUUGCUAGGUGGAUUAGUGGCGAACGGGUGAGUAAUACGUGAGUAACCUACCUUUAACUCUGGGAUAAGCCUGGGAAACUGGGUCUAAUACCGGAUACGACCAAUCUCCGCAUGGGGUGUUGGUGGAAAGCGUUAUGUAGUGGUUAUAGAUGGGCUCACGGCCUAUCAGCUUGUUGGUGAGGUAACGGCUCACCAAGGCGACGACGGGUAGCCGGCCUGAGAGGGUGACCGGCCACACUGGGACUGAGACACGGCCCAGACUCCUACGGGAGGCAGCAGUGGGGAAUAUUGCACAAUGGGCGCAAGCCUGAUGCAGCGACGCCGCGUGAGGGAUGACGGCCUUCGGGUUGUAAACCUCUGUUAGCAGGGAAGAAGAGAAAUUGACGGUACCUGCAGAGAAAGCGCCGGCUAACUACGUGCCAGCAGCCGCGGUAAUACGUAGGGCGCGAGCGUUGUCCGGAAUUAUUGGGCGUAAAGAGCUUGUAGGCGGUUUGUCGCGUCUGCUGUGAAGGCCGGGGCUUAACCCCGUGUAUUGCAGUGGGUACGGGCAGACUAGAGUGCAGUAGGGGAGACUGGAACUCCUGGUGUAGCGGUGGAAUGCGCAGAUAUCAGGAAGAACACCGAUGGCGAAGGCAGGUCUCUGGGCUGUAACUGACGCUGAGAAGCGAAAGCAUGGGGAGCGAACAGGAUUAAAUACCCUGGUAGUCCAUGCCGUAAACGUUGGGCACUAGGUGUGGGGGACAUUCCACGUUUUCCGCGCCGUAGCUAACGCAUUAAGUGCCCCGCCUGGGGAGUACGGCCGCAAGGCUAAAACUCAAAGAAAUUGACGGGGGCCCGCACAAGCGGCGGAGCAUGCGGAUUAAUUCGAUGCAACGCGAAGAACCUUACCAAGGCUUGACAUAUACUGGACCGCAUCAGAGAUGGUGUUUCCCUUCGGGGCUGGUAUACAGGUGGUGCAUGGUUGUCGUCAGCUCGUGUCGUGAGAUGUUGGGUUAAGUCCCGCAACGAGCGCAACCCUCGUUCUAUGUUGCCAGCACGUUAUGGUGGGGACUCAUAGGAGACUGCCGGGGUCAACUCGGAGGAAGGUGGGGAUGACGUCAAAUCAUCAUGCCCCUUAUGUCUUGGGCUUCACGCAUGCUACAAUGGCCGGUACAGAGGGUUGCGAUACUGUGAGGUGGAGCUAAUCCCUAAAAGCCGGUCUCAGUUCGGAUUGGGGUCUGCAACUCGACCCCAUGAAGUCGGAGUCGCUAGUAAUCGCAGAUCAGCAACGCUGCGGUGAAUACGUUCCCGGGCCU